rnacentral:rRNA from 1 species
GUGGGGAAUAUUGGACAAUGGGCGAAAGCCUGAUCCAGCAAUGCCGCGUGAGUGAUGAAGGCCUUAGGGUUGUAAAGCUCUUUUACCCGGGAUGAUAAUGACAGUACCGGGAGAAUAAGCUCCGGCUAACUCCGUGCCAGCAGCCGCGGUAAUACGGAGGGAGCUAGCGUUAUUCGGAAUUACUGGGCGUAAAGCGCACGUAGGCGGCUUUGUAAGUAAGAGGUGAAAGCCCAGAGCUCAACUCUGGAAUUGCCUUUUAGACUGCAUCGCUUGAAUCAUGGAGAGGUCAGUGGAAUUCCGAGUGUAGAGGUGAAAUUCGUAGAUAUUCGGAAGAACACCAGUGGCGAAGGCGGCUGACUGGACAUGUAUUGACGCUGAGGUGCGAAAGCGUGGGGAGCAAACAGGAUUAGAAACCCUAGUAGUCC